UUAGAUACCGCUUACAAUAAAAAAUAAAAAGGAAACAUACAAUGUCUUAUCUCUAUGAUAUGUAUCCCUGUACAAACCAAACCAUCACAUAUUACCUUGGUAUGCUCACACCAAAUUUAACUGCAAAUUUAUAUCAAUAGUACUAGUAAAGAGUGGUCGGGGCGGCCGCCAUAGCGGAAGCAAGGUAUUCCCCGCUACUGCGACGAUGUUGCGCUUUCAGAUACCAUGUGCAAAACAUGGUCAUGGACGAAUUGCCCACCAUUUGGUACGUAAAAAGGUACUCCAAUCCGUCCUAAAAUAUAGCAAUCUUGUUCAGAUUCGUUGUACUGGGAUAUAACCAAUCAUAAUCACUCACCAUUCAACUUUCUUACCUAUCUGCACUUCUUAAUCAAGCAUAGCUUUUUUCAGUUUAGUUCUAGAACAUUUUGAACGGAGGUAAUACUACUCCACAUUUUAUUUUUGUUUGUGUCAACAUGAGUAGUCGUGUGGCGACUGGCGAGUCGGCAGGGAAGAACCAACCGGAGUAGUAGUAGUAGUGGUACCGCGGUUUGCCGCUUGGGUUGCGACAGGUGUCGACGCGGGCGCGUGGCCAAAAGCCGCGGCCCCGCGCCACCCGUCGCACCCCGGCCGCGACACUCCAUUCCGAUCUCUUUCUCCUCGCGCCCUCGAUCUGCGUCUUCUUCCAUUCCCCUCUCCCUCUGCCCCCCUCAUCGUUGAGCUUCUUCUUCUUCUUCUUCUUCUUGCAGCAUUUUUGUUGGAUUUUUUGUUGAGGGAGGGAGAGGGAAUGCGGCGGCGGGUUGGGCUGCAUGGUCGUCCAACGUGUCGACGGGUGGCGGCCGCGUGUCCGCGAGUGGGGUGAUGCGUCAACACGUCGUGGGGCGAGGACAGGUCAACCCAGCAAUGCCGCAUUGCCACCUAGACCGACGCCGUACGGCCGCUCGAUCCGCCUCCGCUCUUUGUUUAAUGCGGCUCUCCACGAAGACGAGGCGGCAGAGGGAGGGCGAUGCGCGCCGCCAUUGCCGCCGGAGAAAGGUCGCCGCCGCCUGCCGUUUUAUCUUCUCCGAGCGGCUCGCCGGCCAUCCCUGGGGGGAGCGGAUGGGAGGGGACGGCCGCAAUGCUGGCUCGGAUCUCCACGCGCCGCCUAUAAGGAUGAGAUGAGAUACAAUCUAGUACAACGAAUCUGAGGUUAUAACAUUGUGGAACGGAGGAAGCACUAGUGUGUCGCCGACAUUGCUCUUCAUCGAGUCCAUUUCCAAGGUCAGGAACAAGAACAACCAUCCAUACAAAACCACCCCUCUUCUACUCUGUGCUAAUCAUAUGCGACGCACAUUCGUGCAUCAAAUUCAUAUUUGUUUUUUCCACCCUGCACAUGCACAGGAAGAGGGAUAUGGAUGCAGCUCUUCUACUUUGUUAUUGUUGUUAUUGUUACCUCCCUUAUGGGCCAGGCCCUCGCAUAUACGCAGAUUCGUUCACCAGGCGGCCGGCCCCGGCCCAACAAUCACUUUUACCUGAUCCAACAAAUCAGGACAUGGGGAAACAUCAGCACAGGUAUCACUUGUACUCCAGUUUGUACUAGUACUGCUAUCUUUAUAUUACACAUAAUAAAAGAAGCUAUAUGGAUCUUACACAAUUACACCAACAUGAUAUAAUUACGAUUAUGAAUACUCCCGACGCAGGCACAACUUAUAAUUAUUUAAAAAUAAGAUUGUAUAAGCAUCCACUCACUCACACUUACAGAUACAGCAACGUAACCAUCUAUCAGUUAUUUUCAGUUCCUCGUCAGAUUGUUCACUGCCAGAUUCGAAUAAACAACACACAUAGACAUAAGGGUCCCUAGACAUAAUAAGGACAGAUUGUAUCACGCGUAAUAAUCAGAUCUGGCAAACAGCAAACCACAGUUCCUACAGAAUCAAACAGAUUCAUACCAAUAGGUUGAAACAAACUCCAUACACAAGUCAGUGCAAUUAUCAGGCUUUCAGUAUCAUGGUCAGAUGACACAUCAAGCAACACAACCAGUCAAACACAGGUAGCACACAUAUCAAACAUUGCUAAAACACCACAGCAUAGGUCUUCAUUACAAGAACCUGAAUACUUCCCCAUCCUUUUAUUCCAUCUCCCCCCCUUGAUCUAACAAGCAGAGCCAGAGGCCAUGGCAACUCUUUUCUCUACCUGGGAUCAAUCAGUGGGAGAAACUGGCAGCAAACAGAGCAUGCACCAUUUUCUCUUUUUUUUA